rnacentral:rRNA from 1 species
AACGAACGCUGGCGGCAUGCCUAACACAUGCAAGUCGAACGAGACCUUCGGGUCUAGUGGCGCACGGGUGCGUAACGCGUGGGAACCUGCCCUUAGGUUCGGAAUAACUCCCCGAAAGGGGUGCUAAUACCGGAUAAUGUCUUCGGACCAAAGAUUUAUCGCCUUUGGAUGGGCCCGCGUUGGAUUAGCUAGUUGGUAGGGUAAAGCCUACCAAGGCGACGAUCCAUAGCUGGUCUGAGAGGAUGAUCAGCCACACUGGGACUGAGACACGGCCCAGACUCCUACGGGAGGCAGCAGUGGGGAAUAUUGGACAAUGGGCGAAAGCCUGAUCCAGCAAUGCCGCGUGAGUGAUGAAGGCCUUAGGGUUGUAAAGCUCUUUUACCCGGGAUGAUAAUGACAGUACCGGGAGAAUAAGCGCCGGCUAACUCCGUG